GAUCUGUUUAUUCGCAAAUUUCAUGAUACUGUCUGUAUAAUACAUGCGGCUUACGAAAUUACGGCAAGAAAGUUUCGAGAUGCGAGCGUCUUCGCGAUAAAUUGUUAGUCUCUCUACAGUACUUUGUACACGAAUCUUUCGUACUCAACUAUGAAAGAGACGAAAGAGCCUCGCAAACCGGUGGAAAAAUGUCCAAGACGUCGAUGCAUUUCAAAGGGAUGCAACCAUCCACCAACCCAAGGGGCAGUAAGGGAUGAAUAAACGAAGAAGUCGAAUGCACGUGUAACGAGGAGAUCCGUCAUCUUAAAGAAGUCAAGUCCUCUGCGUCAUCACCCUUGUCGUCCACAAGGCAAAGACCAGGAUGCCUCUUCCUCAUCUCUCGGAGCCAUCAUCGACGGCCACGCCGGAUCUAAAAAUUUUCUGAACCCACAACGAACCCACCCAGGACUCACACCAGGUCGACGAAGUAUCCUCCGGGUUAUUGGCAAUUAAUAUUCCGGAAAUUUUACGAAAACUCAGCAGCCGACUUUGCUCGCUUCCCAGUCCCCUAUGGGAUCCACUUGCCGACGUUGCAUCCCGUUCCAGUCCUGUUACAUUCAAAAGGACCUCUUUUCUGUCUCUGGAAGAGGGUGAAGGCGUCAGCCACCUUAUUAUCCAUCCUGUCCAGGACGACGACGUCUGACGUCGCUAAAUUUAUGGCUUUUCUCUUCCGGCGCAAGAACCUGCCAAAAUAUGUUUACCGGGACAGCCGUUCAAUCUCUGGAUACUUUGAUGAUCCCGGAGGAGGCGCGACUCCCGGGGAAACUUGGACAGGCUCUUAACGACACGUGGCUUUCGAAUAUUACUACGGUCUGUUUCAUCCAAAUAUUUUUAAGGCAUUCUGGACCAUUUGUGUUUGGUGUAUCCCCUUCGAGUUAAACAGCCAAUUAGAAAACAUCUUAAAAAAAAAAGUUGUUUCAGAGAUGGAUUUGGCGCCAAACGUUCCCCGUGACAGGCAACUUGCAUCAUGUGCAAUAAAAGGAUUUAAAAUUAUUUUAUAAGAUUUUAUUACAUACAAAUUCUGUGGCAGAUUAAAUAGGUAUAUGCUUUACGUAUUAAUUGUUGAUAUUAAAUAAGGUAUUUAUUUCAGCUCGGGCUUAGAUUAUUUAGCGGUUGUAGUCUCGCAUUGAUACAUUAAUAAAUAAUAAUAAAAUAAAAUUAGUCGAAAUGUAAAUUAUAAUGGAAAUUAUAAUGAACGCGAACGCGUAGCAUGGCGGGCAGAGGUUCUCUGUUACUCACUCCUGAUUCCCAUAGCAACCCUUAGAACGAGAUUGGGAACUAUAGAACUUUUUAAGAAGUAUUGAAAAAGUCUAUAGUUGAAACAUUUUAAAGAAAUUUUUAAGAAAGUGCAGUGUCAACCUGACACCCCUGUAGCACCUAAAAUUUUACUAAAUAUUAUCGGAAAUUCAUUUACUUAAGAUUUUGCCCCCCUAGUCCUGUACGCGACAGCCGCAGGACUCGGGG